UGGUCCUACGGGGCGCAGCAGUGAGGAAUAUUGGUCAAUGGGCGAGAGCCUGAACCAGCCAAGUCGCGUGAAGGAUGACGGCCCUACGGGUUGUAAACUUCUUUUGUCAGGGAGCAAUUGGGUCCACGCGUGGGCUUAGCGAGAGUACCUGAAGAAAAAGCAUCGGCUAACUCCGUGCCAGCAGCCGCGGUAAUACGGAGGAUGCGAGCGUUAUCCGGAUUUAUUGGGUUUAAAGGGUGCGCAGGCGGAUUUUUAAGUCAGCGGUCAAAUCGUGGGGCUCAACCCCAUCCAGCCGUUGAAACUGG
rnacentral:rRNA from 1 species